UACGUAGGCAGCAAGCGUUGUUCGGAGUUACUGGGCGUAAAGGGUGCGUAGGCGGCCCUGUAAGUAUGGUGUGAAAUCGUCCCGGCUUAACUGGGAGGGUGCGCUAUAGACUGCGGGGCUCGAGUGUGGGAGAGGAAAGUGGAAUUCCUGGUGUAGCGGUGAAAUGCGUAGAUAUCAGGAGGAACACCGGUGGUGUAAACGGCUUUCUGGACCAUAACUGACGCUGGAGGCACGAAAGCGUGGUAGCAAACAGG
rnacentral:rRNA from 1 species